rnacentral:rRNA from 1 species
UACGAAGGGGGCUAGCGUUGCUCGGAAUGACUGGGCGUAAAGGGCUCGUAGGCGGUCUGUUGCGUCGGGAGUGAAAACUCAGGGCUUAACCCUGAGCCUGCUUCCGAUACGGGCAGACUAGAGGUAUGCAGGGGAGAACGGAAUUCCUGGUGUAGCGGUGAAAUGCGCAGAUAUCAGGAGGAACACCGGUGGCGAAGGCGGUUCUCUGGGCAUUACCUGACGCUGAGGAGCGAAAGUGUGGGGAGCGAACAGG